rnacentral:rRNA from 1 species
GGGUCUAAAACAUCCGUAGCUUGCUUAAUAAGUUUCCUGUGAAAUUCUGUCUCUUAAGGGCAGAGCGCGCAGGAAGUACUGUUGUGCUAGAGACUGGAAGACGUGAAAAGUACGUUCGAAGUAGCGGUAAAAUGCGUUAAUCUUGAGCGGACUCACAAUAGCGAAGGCAUUUCACGAGGACAGUUCUGACAGUAAGGGAUGAAGGCUAGGGGCGCGAAAGGGAUUAGAUACCCCUGUAGUCCUAGCAGUAAACACUGCACACUAAACAUCAGUACCUCUUCGGGAGGCAUUGGUGCUGUGGCGAAGGCGAAGAGUGUGCUACCUGGAAGUAUAGUCGCAAGGCCGAAACUUAAAGGAAUUGGCGGGGGAGCACAA